GAGGAUCAGAGGAGAGCGGGAGUACUAACAGACUCAGAUCAUUAAAGACUCUGCCGACCAAAGCCUACCCCAGUUUCCUCUUUGCGGUUUUCCCGGAGGAAUCUAUUUUUGCUGCCGGAGCUCUUGCAAGAAAUGGUUAAAAUAAGCUUGUAUC